rnacentral:rRNA from 1 species
GUGAGGAAUAUUGGUCAAUGGGCGGGAGCCUGAACCAGCCAAGUCGCGUGAAGGAAGAAGGAUCUAUGGUUCGUAAACUUCUUUUGUAGGGGAAUAAAGUGCAGGACGUGUCCUGUUUUGUAUGUACCCUGAGAAUAAGGAUCGGCUAACUCCGUGCCAGCAGCCGCGGUAAUACGGAGGAUCCGAGCGUUAUCCGGAUUUAUUGGGUUUAAAGGGUGCGUAGGUGGUUUGAUAAGUCAGCGGUGAAAGUUUGCAGCUUAACUGUAAAAAUGCCGUUGAAACUGUCGGACUUGAGUGUAAAUGAGGUAGGCGGAAUGCGUGGUGUAGCGGUGAAAUGCAUAGAUAUCACGCAGAACUCCGAUUGCGAAGGCAGCUUACUAAGCUACAACUGACACUGAAGCACGAAAGCGUGGGGAUCAAACAGGAUUAGAUACCCGAGUAGUCC